CUGCCAUCAAAACUUUUCAGCUAGAGUAUGAUAGAGGAAAGCAGAAUUUCUAGUGUAGAGGUGAAAUUCGUAGAUAUUAGAAAGAAUACCAAUUGCGAAGGCAGCUUUCUGGAUCAUUACUGACACUGAGGAACGAAAGCAUGGGUAGCGAAGAGGAUUAGAUACCCUCGUAGUCCAUGCCGUAAACGAUGUGUGUUAGACGUUGGAAAUUUAUUUUCAGUGUCGCAGCGAAAGCGAUAAACACACCGCCUGGGGAGUACGACCGCAAGGUUAAAACUCAAAUGAAUUGACGGGGACCCGCACAAGUAGUGGAGCAUGUGGUUUAAUUCGAAGAUACGCGCAGAACCUUACCAACACUUGACAUGUUCGUCGCGACUCUAAGAGAUUAGAGUUUUCGGUUCGGCCGGACGAAACACAGGUGCUGCAUGGCUGUCGUCAGCUCGUGUCGUGAGAUGUUGGGUUAAGUCCCGCAACGAGCGCAACCCUCACUUUUAGUUGCCAUCAUUUAGUUGGGCACUCUGAAAGAACUGCCAGUGAUAAGCUGGAGGAAGGUGGGGAUGACGUCAAGUCCUCAUGGCCCUUACGUGUUGGGCUACACACGUGCUACAAUGGCAUCUACAACAGGAAGCAAAACGGCAACGUUAAGCAAAUCCCGAAAAGAUGCCUCAGUUCGGAUUGCACUCUGCAACUCGAGUGCAUGAAGCUGGAAUUACUAGUAAUCGUGGAUCAGCGUGCCACGGUGAAUGCGUUCCCGGGUCUUGUACACACCGCCCGUCACACCAUGGGAGUUGGUUCUACCUUAAGGCAAGGUUUUAAACCCUUGACCACGGUAUAGUCAGCGACUGGGGUGAAGUCGUAACAAGGUAACCAAGG
rnacentral:rRNA from 1 species